rnacentral:rRNA from 1 species
GACGAACGCUGGCGGCGUGCUUAACACAUGCAAGUCGAACGGAAAGGCCCUGCUUUUGUGGGGUGCUCGAGUGGCGAACGGGUGAGUAACACGUGAGUAACCUGCCCUUGACUUUGGGAUAACUUCAGGAAACUGGGGCUAAUACCGGAUAGGAGCUCCUGCUGCAUGGUGGGGGUUGGAAAGUUUCGGCGGUUGGGGAUGGACUCGCGGCUUAUCAGCUUGUUGGUGGGGUAGUGGCUUACCAAGGCUUUGACGGGUAGCCGGCCUGAGAGGGUGACCGGCCACAUUGGGACUGAGAUACGGCCCAGACUCCUACGGGAGGCAGCAGUGGCGAAUAUUGCACAAUGGGCGGAAGCCUGAUGCAGCAACGCCGCGUGCGGGAUGACGGCCUUCGGGUUGUAAACCGCUUUCGCCUGUGACGAAGCGUGAGUGACGGUAAUGGGUAAAGAAGCACCGGCUAACUACGU